AUUGAACGCUGGCGGCGUGCCUAACACAUGCAAGUCGAGCGGUAACAGGUGUAGCAAUACAUGCUGACGAGCGGCGAACGGGUGAGUAAUGCUUCGGAAUCUACCCAAUGGUGGGGAAUAACCAGCCGAAAGGUUGGCUAAUACCGCAUACGUCCUACGGGAGAAAGCAGGGGAUCGUAAGACCUUGCGCCAAUGGAUGAGCCGAAGUCGGAUUAGCUAGUGGUAGGGUAACGGCCUACCAAGGCGACGAUCCGUAGCUGGUCUGAGAGGACGACCAGCCACACUGGGACUGAGACACGGCCCAGACUCCUACGGGAGGCAGCAGUGGGGAAUAUUGGACAAUGGGGGAAACCCUGAUCCAGCGACGCCGCGUGUGUGAAGAAGGCCUGCGGGUUGUAAAGUACUUUUAGU
rnacentral:rRNA from 1 species